GACGAACGCUGGCGGCGUGCCUAAUACAUGCAAGUAGAACGCUGAAGAGAGGAGCUUGCUCUUCUUGGAUGAGUUGCGAACGGGUGAGUAACGCGUAGGUAACCUGCCUUGUAGCGGGGGAUAACUAUUGGAAACGAUAGCUAAUACCGCAUAACAAUGGAUGACACAUGUCAUUUAUUUGAAAGGGGCAAUUGCUCCACUACAAGAUGGACCUGCGUUGUAUUAGCUAGUAGGUGAGGUAAUGGCUCACCUAGGCGACGAUACAUAGCCGACCUGAGAGGGUGAUCGGCCAAACUGGGACUGAGACACGGCCCAGACUCCUACGGGAGGCAGCAGUAGGGAAUCUUCGGCAAUGGGGGCAACCCUGACCGAGCAACGCCGCGUGAGUGAAGAAGGUUUUCGGAUCGUAAAGUUCUGUUGUAAGUCAAGAACGGGUGUGAGAGUGGAAAGUUCACACUGUGACGGUAGCUUACCAGAAAGGGACGGCUAACUACGUG
rnacentral:rRNA from 1 species